CUCGUAGGUGGCCAACUAAGUCAGACGUGAAAUCCCUCGGCUUAACCGGGGAACUGCGUCUGAUACUGGAUGGCUUGAGUUUGGGAGAGGGAUGCGGAAUUCCAGGUGUAGCGGUGAAAUGCGUAGAUAUCUGGAGGAACACCGGUGGCGAAGGCGGCAUCCUGGACCAAUACUGACACUGAACAGCGAAAGCCAGGGAGCAAACG
rnacentral:rRNA from 1 species